rnacentral:rRNA from 1 species
GACCGAGGGUGCAAACGUUGUUCGGAAUUACUGGGCGUAAAGCGCGUGUAGGCGGCUAUGCAAGUCGGAUGUGAAAGCCCUCGGCUCAACCGGGGAAGUGCACCCGAAACUGCAAAGCUAGAGUCUCGGAGAGGAUCGUGGAAUUCUCGGUGUAGAGGUGAAAUUCGUAGAUAUCGAGAGGAACACCGGUGGCGAAGGCGGCGAUCUGGACGAUGACUGACGCUGAGACGCGAAAGCGUGGGGAGCGAACAGG